CCUACGGGGGGCUGCAGUGGGGAAUAUUGGACAAUGGGGGCAACCCUGAUCCAGCCAUGCCGCGUGUGUGAAGAAGGCCCUCGGGUUGUAAAGCACUUUCAGUGAGGAAGAACGCCUGGUGGUUAAUACCCAUCAGGAAAGACAUCACUCACAGAAGAAGCACCGGCUAACUCCGUGCCAGCAGCCGCGGUAAUACGGAGGGUGCGAGCGUUAAUCGGAAUUACUGGGCGUAAAGCGCGCGUAGGUGGCUUGAUAAGCCGGUUGUGAAAGCCCCGGGCUCAACCUGGGAACGGCAUCCGGAACUGUCAAGCUAGGGUGCAGGAGAGGAAGGUAGAAUUCCCGGUGUAGCGGUGAAAUGCGUAGAGAUCGGGAGGAAUACCAGUGGCGAAGGCGGCCUUCUGGACUGACACUGACGCUGAGGUGCGAAAGCGUGGGUAGCAAACAGGAUUAGAUACCCUUGUAGUC
rnacentral:rRNA from 1 species